rnacentral:rRNA from 1 species
AACGAACGCUGGCGGCGUGCUUAACACAUGCAAGUCGAACGCGAAAGGGACUUCGGUCCUGAGUAAAGUGGCGCACGGGUGAGUAACGCGUGGAUAAUCUACCCGAUGAUCUGGGAUAACAUUUCGAAAGGGGUGCUAAUACCGGAUAAGACCACGGGCUCUUCGGAGCUUGCGGUAAAAGGUGGGGACCUUCGGGCCUACCGUUAUCGGAUGAGUCCGCGUACCAUUAGCUAGUUGGUGGGGUAAGAGCCUACCAAGGCGACGAUGGUUAGCUGGUCUGAGAGGAUGAUCAGCCACACUGGAACUGAGACACGGUCCAGACUCCUACGGGAGGCAGCAGUGGGGAAUUUUGCGCAAUGGGGGAAACCCUGACGCAGCAACGCCGCGUGAGUGAUGAAGGCCUUCGGGUCGUAAAGCUCUGUUGUAAGGGACGAAUGUCGCGAUCAAUAAUACGGAUUGCGAAUGACGGUACCUUACCAGCAAGCCCCGGCUAACUACGUG